rnacentral:rRNA from 1 species
AUAUCAGUCAUGCAUAGCAUAUCAAUAAGCGGAGGAAAAGAAACUAACAAGGAUUCCCUUAGUAACGGCGAGUGAAGCGGGAAGAGCUCAAAUUUGAAAUCUUCAAGGUUUUACCUUGACGAAUUGUAGUUUAAAGAAGUGUUUUCUGUUGAAGUUUUGGUAAAAGUUCUUUGGAAUAGGACAUCAUAGAGGGUGAGAAUCCCGUAUUUGACCAUUACUUUCAGCUUUGUGAUACACUUUCAAAGAGUCGGAUUGUUUGGGAAUGCAGUCCAAAAUGGGUGGUAAAUUUCAUCUAAAGCUAAAUAUUGGCGAGAGACCGAUAGCGAACAAGUACCGUGAGGGAAAGAUGAAAAGAACUUUGAAAAGAGAGUUAAACAGUACGUGAAAUUGUCAAAAGGGAAGCGUUUGACACCAGUGUUGUUUUCUCGAAAAUCAAUUAAAAAGAGUUGGAUUUUGUGUUGUAUUGACUUUAUCAGGCUUUCUUCACUCUUUUCCAGCUUUUUUUAAUGCACUUUUCGUUUAACAAGUCAACAUCAGUUUCUUUUGUUGUAAAAAGGUCAUUGGAAGGUGGCUUUCUCUUCGGAGAAAGUGUUUAUAGCCUUUGACUCAUGCAAUCGGAGAGACUGAGGUCUGCAGCGUAGAUCCUUCGGGGUUAGAUACAUUUGUGCUAAGUUAUAGCUUUUCAUAGACAACUUGUUGACUAUGUUUAGUCUUGUAGCUUACUCGCUUAUGCUAUUUUACCUACGCUUAGGAUGUUGAACUCUAUCACACACAG